UCCCGGUGGCUCCCGCAGCCGGCUCCGCUGCUCAUCGGGGGAGCGCUCUGACCGCACCUGCAGCCGCGCCCAGGACAGCGCGGGGACUCGGAGCCGGGGAGUGGGAUAAGGGCAUGGGAACUGCCUCCGCACACACCGGUGUCCUCAGCCAUUCCUCCUGUGGCAUUUGGAGCCUUCACCGCAGCAGCUUUUCCUGGCAUGCUGGCUGCCAGCACCCAGGCUCUGGGGCAGCCCUCAAGGGACCUGCAGAAGUUUUGCUAUCCAAAUUCUGAAGCCUGCUGAAAUUAUCCUUCACCACCUAAAACAGAAUGUGCAGUUCCACCUGAGGUAUCUAAAGGGGGAAAGCCACAGAGGCAAACAAAAAUCAUCCAUAUUCUGCAGUCCUAAACCAAAAGACUUGGCACUUCCUGAGCCAGAACUGCCCGGUGCAGAUAUGGUCAGCCAGUGAAGCCUUCUGCGUGAGAUCACUCAGAGCAAAUCUCAUGCAGAACAACCUAUCUUUGAUGAAGACACAAUCAGCAUAUGUUCAGUCUCUGCAACAGUCCCUCACAGCUACAGCAGAGUAUAUGUCUGUACGUCCAUAUUGUUGAUCACUCUUGGGCUUAUCUCCAUCCAGACUUAAAACCCCACUUAGAAUAUAUCCUGACUUCCCAGUAGGGGAAUCAUGCUGCCUAGGCUAUAUUAUUGCCUUAAGCUAACCUCUGAAAUGACAGUUCUCUGGACCAUCAUGGAAGAGAAUUGAUAAUGCUUUGCCUUAUCAAAACAUUUACAAAAUCAGAUUUACCUAGAUAUUAAGAUAGUGAAAUAUUCAGUAUUCUAAUGGAGUUUCUUAGUGUACUGUCACACUUUACCGUGACUGUAGCCUAUGUAAUUUGAUUAACCAUUUAUAACUUUAGUACAUAAUAUAUGAAAAUUACCAGUGAACUGAAAACACUGGAAAUGUUCACAAGAACCAGAAAAGCAAACUGGGAUCUGUGGGCCUUGUGUCUGCAGAAAUUAGUAACUGCUGGCAGCUGAAGUCUAUCCUCCAAACUUCUCGCAAAGACUAACUUCAUUUACAUGAGCUGAGACCUCUUGAGAGGCCCUUACACUGAAUUUAUCCAGUACUUUUGAGCUCUUGCUUUAUGUUAAAAAAAAAAAAAAAACAAACAAACCUGUUAUCUUUAAGCUUGUUGCUUUUUCACCAGGGAAAGUUUUAAUGAGAAAAUUUAACUCAUCGAUGUUAUUUUUUCUACUAAUUAGGUGAAAGUGGUUUUAACUCUGUGAGCAGUUUCUGUUAUCUGGUACUCCUGAACUAGUAGCUAGCAUCUAUGAAUAGUGCUAUCCUGCUUUAGUUUUUUAUUAAAAAAAAUCUAAGAAGUUAUUGAUUACUAUAGCUUUUAUAUUCUAUGGGCACAGUUAAAAUAGACAAUUAAGAGCUGCAUGUUGUUUCUGUAAUUUCAGAAUUGGAAUAGAUAUGCUCAGCCUUUCUGCUGUAACGUAUGCUGCUUCAGUAGCAAGACAAUUUAUGAUUCAAAAUAAUACAUUUGAUAACAUAAGUGAGUGGUCUAGGUCAUAUCUAGUAACUUAAGCAUGUAUUCUUGCUCAAUGCGGUAAGAAAAAACAAAAGCUAGUUAAGAGAUCAGCAGUCAUUCCUGGCACGCUGGCUAUUUUUACAUGCUGGCUGUUUUUAUUUUACAGGCAUGAGCUGAUAUGGUAGUCACUUUUUUUCUGACUGACUGAAUAAACUACAGGUCCUGGAUCAGUUCUUGGUAUGCUGUAAUUCUCGGCCAUAAGACCUAUGAGAUAAGUUUAAACAGAAUGAUCCACUACUCAGAGGAGCGAUGGCUUCUUUUAUAGCCCUCUUGUUCUUGUAAGCAGUAAACUGUUGAUAGAGACUAUGAGGGCAAGGGCAUGUUCACCACAUUCUGGUCAUAUUUUCCUGAAUCAUGCAUGUACUUUUGUCUGUGCUGUGGGACUCUUCACACCUCACACAUUCAGGACCAACUAGGUCCUGUUGUUAGUAGUGGUGUUUUUUCUCCUGUCUAUAUUUUGAUAUUAAAACUCUGAUAAUUUCUAGUAAUAUUUGUGCCUCUCUUUAAAAAAAAUAUAAAUAUGUAUUUCAUACUCAAUCCCAUUUUUAAAGAUGUCACUGUUCUUCCUAGUAGUUCUUGCUCUAUCUGCCCCAAAAAUGUUUUUCUUCUUCCAGACAGACCCUACUCUCCCUUCCUCCUAUUUACUCAGUCACCUUGGAAAUGUAGAGCAUUACUGUACAAAGCACUGCUUUUUUAUUGACUCUAUGACUUUGACAAUUGCACUUAUUGUAAUUUUUCUUCUCUCCUGUCCAUCUUGAAAGAUCCAACAAUAUUAUUUUAUCCAUUAUGUGACCUUCUUACUUGACAUUCCUUUGUCUUUGCUCUAAAUCCAGACAUGAAGAACUGUACAAGGCUGGGAUAUAUGGGAGAGGGCGGGAUUGUUCCACAUAGAUCACAAAGCAGAUGUGUCUGGGAAGUUCUGGUCUGUAACACUGCAAAGACAAUAAAAGACAAUUACAUUGCAUGUCUGUCUAAAUGCUAAAGAAUAACACAAAUGCUCAUGACUUCAUGUCUAAAAAAAUCUUUCAUUUAUAAAGGCAAGGCAGCACAUAAUAUUUUUUUAUACUCAAGCUGGAUAUUAUGAUUGAAAAACCUCUACCCUCAAUAUCACCAGUCCCCACCCCAGACUUUACUGGGUUUAUGCUAGUGAAUAGUAUGCUUUAUAAUUUUGUGUGACAAACUGUUUUCAUGUAUUUAAAUAUAAUGUCUGUCUAGGUACUGAUUUUAUUUUCCUGUUUAAUUUAUUCUCCAGAUUCUCUGGCCUUCAGUCAAUGCACUGGCUGAUUAAAUUAUUAUCCCAGUAAUGAGAUUUGACAGAAUCUAUGCCAGUUACCUAUGUGACCUGCUAAGUAGGUUAAUUGGCAACCCUGAAUAAUUAUCAGCCACCUCAUCUCUCUGACUGAGAGUUUGACAGUAAAUGACACAUAAAGAUGCUGAAAAAGACACACAGUUUUUAAUUUCAACUUCUGAAUUGUUUCAAAGAAAUCUUUUAACUAGGAGCUUAUUAAUACAAUGCAGCAAUUAAAAAAUAUCUUGUGAACAUUUUGGUUGUAUAAAAAUAUAGAUGUUUGUUAUUGUGCAUCAUCAUGGCUUCCUGGGAGAAAAAGAAGUCUGUGGCGUAUUAGAUAAACAGGUCCCUCUAUUGUGCAAAUUGCUUAUGUAAGUGAAUUGUUGCAUCCUCAGAGAGAAAGCUCAGAAGCAAGGAAAAUUCAGGAAGUCCAAGUGAUAUUUGUGGUGACAUUUCAAAAAUCAUAUUUUAAUGCUUUUCUGUGAAACCUUGAGAACUAGAAAUUAACUAUAUUGUUCAAUGAAGGCUGUGAUUCUUCUGUUCCCAUUUCUCAGGAAACAAAGUUAAGAAAAAUAAAUAUUAUGGUAAGUGGUGACACUGACAUGUAUUGUGUAUCUAUCUAUCUUUUCUACCUUGUUCAUUUCUGAAAAUCCAAAAUGAUAUUUCCUUCUGCCCUAGAAAAUAGAAGAUUUUAGAGAGGAUGCAAAAUGGACUUCUAGGGGUGAGAAGGUGGGGAAAAAUAUCUAAGAUUUAAACCGUGGUCUUUUCACAGCCCAAAUUAGUGGUUCCAAACCAUGGACUUAGUCAGACUUCUCCCAGAGUCAUUCCUCUGCUCUGGCCAGAAACCCCACCAAAACUUGGGGUAGAAAGAACAAUCAAAGAAUCAACUUCUUGUUAUCAGCAGUUAAUGACUGCAACAUAAAGUGUCUUCACAGAGACACUGCGGAGAGCCUCGCUUGUGCUCCCAAGGUGAGGAGUUGCUGCUCUGCCUCGGCCCUGGCACGCCUGUGGCACAGCUGCCUGCCCCGAGUCAGUCCUCCACUGUGGCCCUGCAGCUUGCGAGCACGGGCACCUCUAACUGAACCACACAAAUAAGUAUUAUGUGCAUAGUAAUUUUGGCCAAGUUAAAUCUCGUUAUCAUGUGCCACCUCUCACAAACUAUUAACACAGUUUUCCAGAAAUCAAAAGUUUCCAGAGUCCUGAUGUCACAUCCCUUCUGGCUGCCAUCAUCAUUCCUCUUCCUUCAGCCUCUGUGUAUGCAAAAAUAUGUUUACAUUUCUAAGUGCAUGCCAUAAUGGAGAGCAGAGUGUGCACUUUUCUAUGUCCAGAAAAAGGAUUCUUCAAGUAGAUACCCAAACCAAAGCCAUUUGAUCUUUCAAUUAGUUGGCUUACGGGCUUCUGAGUGGUGUGAUUCAGGAGAGGAUCCCGGCUAUGAUGAAAUCACUUAAAACUGAGCUUGAGCAAGUGAGCAGAGCUCAGAUUUUGAGAUUGUGACUCACAUGUUAAAACCAAACACGUGUUCAAGUGUUUUUCUAUAUUGUGGCCAUGUUGAACUAUAAUGACCUAAAUGGAUUGACUCCCCAGACAAAUUUACCCUUCCCUUUCCUCCUACUCACACAUACAUUUACACCUCAACCAAUCACUUAUGUCUCUAAUUCCUAUAUGCUACAUAUUUUGAAAUCUUUAUGGCUUGUUUAAUCUCUUCAAGGUAUGUCUCUAUUUCCUGUCUUUAUUUCCUCUGUGAUUCAUCAACAGGGAUUUUUACCCCUACCCAAAGGAUUUCAAUUUUACUGUACAAAUUUAACCAAAGCAAAAUUGUUAAGGCUUGUUAAAGAAGCUGUGCUGUCUCUUUGUGCUCCUUCAUGUAGCCCCUCUCCCCGUGAGAAGAUGAAGAAGGUGCUGAAGAUGCUCAUCAGGUUCAACUACUGUCUACAGAUGCCAAAAAUAAUAUCUUUCAGCUCUCUGCCUCUGGAUUUUUUUUGCCACUAUGUGGUAUGUCUAAAAUUAUAGGCAUUUAGACGUGAGGUAGCAGAAGAGAAAAAAAGUAAAAAAUAAGAGGUAUUAUAGUAAAAUAGCAAAGCACUGAUGUCUUGGUGAUAGUUAUAGGGUCUUUUAUUCCUUAAAAAUAGCACAGCUUUAUAAAGUUUUUAUCAUACCUGAUAGAAAAUUAAGGGCUGAUGAUAUUUUACAACUCAUUACUCAUUGCUUGUUGAUUACAUAAGUGGUUUUGAAUGAAGGAGCACUGUAAGGUCCUGUCAGAAGUUAAGCUGACAUGACUUCUGUCUUUCCUUUUUAUUACGAUAGUCAAUAGCUCAGUUGUAAGGAGUAGAAUUGCUCUUUGUGACUAUAUUAGACAUUCUUUUGGGAGAGCUAGCUAAAAUUUGGGAGCAGAAAAGCAUUUCUGGAAAAAAAAAAAAAAAAAACAUCCCAGCAUGCCA